UGCAAGUCGAACGAACUCUGGUAUUGAUUGGUGCUUGCAUCAUGAUUUACAUUUGAGUGAGUGGCGAACUGGUGAGUAACACGUGGGAAACCUGCCCAGAAGCGGGGGAUAACACCUGGAAACAGAUGCUAAUACCGCAUAACAACUUGGACCGCAUGGUCCGAGUUUGAAAGAUGGCUUCGGCUAUCACUUUUGGAUGGUCCCGCGGCGUAUUAGCUAGAUGGUGAGGUAACGGCUCACCAUGGCAAUGAUACGUAGCCGACCUGAGAGGGUAAUCGGCCACAUUGGGACUGAGACACGGCCCAAACUCCUACGGGAGGCAGCAGUAGGGAAUCUUCCACAAUGGACGAAAGUCUGAUGGAGCAACGCCGCGUGAGUGAAGAAGGGUUUCGGCUCGUAAAACUCUGUUGUUAAAGAAGAACAUAUCUGAGAGUAACUGUUCAGGUAUUGACGGUAUUUAACCAGAAAGCCACGGCUAACUACGUGCCAGCAGCCGCGGUAAUACGUAGGUGGCAAGCGUUGUCCGGAUUUAUUGGGCGUAAAGCGAGCGCAGGCGGUUUUUUAAGUCUGAUGUGAAAGCCUUCGGCUCAACCGAAGAAGUGCAUCGGAAACUGGGAAACUUGAGUGCAGAAGAGGACAGUGGAACUCCAUGUGUAGCGGUGAAAUGCGUAGAUAUAUGGAAGAACACCAGUGGCGAAGGCGGCUGUCUGGUCUGUAACUGACGCUGAGGCUCGAAAGUAUGGGUAGCAAACAGGAUUAGAUACCCUGGUAGUCCAUACCGUAAACGAUGAAUGCUAAGUGUUGGAGGGUUUCCGCCCUUCAGUGCUGCAGCUAACGCAUUAAGCAUUCCGCCUGGGGAGUACGGCCGCAAGGCUGAAACUCAAAGGAAUUGACGGGGGCCCGCACAAGCGGUGGAGCAUGUGGUUUAAUUCGAAGCUACGCGAAGAACCUUACCAGGUCUUGACAUACUAUGCAAAUCUAAGAGAUUAGACGUUCCCUUCGGGGACAUGGAUACAGGUGGUGCAUGGUUGUCGUCAGCUCGUGUCGUGAGAUGUUGGGUUAAGUCCCGCAA
rnacentral:rRNA from 1 species